ACGGAAGGCAGCAGUGGGGGAUAUUGCACAAUGGGGGAAACCCUGAUGCAGCGACGCCGCGUGAGUGAUGAAGUAUUUCGGUAUGUAAAGCUCUAUCAGCAGGGAAGAAAAUGACGGUACCUGACUAAGAAGCACCGGCUAAAUACGUGCCAGCAGCCGCGGUAAUACGUAUGGUGCAAGCGUUAUUCGGAUUUACUGGGUGUAAAGGGAGCGUAGACGGCAUGGCAAGUCUGAAGUGAAAUGCGGGGGCUCAACCCCUGAACUGCUUUGGAAACUGUCAAGCUAGAGUGUCGGAGAGGUAAGUGGAAUUCCUAGUGUAGCGGUGAAAUGCGUAGAUAUUAGGAGGAACACCAGUGGCGAAGGCGGCUUACUGGACGAUAACUGACGUUGAGGCUCGAAAGCGUGGGGAGCAAACAGGAUUAGAUACCCUGGUA
rnacentral:rRNA from 1 species